GGUUCUGUGGCUUAGUUGGUUAAAGUGCCUGUCUUGUAAACAGUGAUAGAUCCUGGGUUCGAAUCCCAGUAGGGCCU